rnacentral:rRNA from 1 species
UGCGUAGGCGGUUUGGUAAGUCUUGUGUGAAAUCUAUGGGCUCAACUCAUAGUCUGCACGAGAAACUGCCGGGCUUGAGUGUGGGAGAGGUGAGUGGAAUUCCUGGUGUAGCGGUGAAAUGCGUAGAUAUCAGGAGGAACACCUGUGGCGAAAGCGGCUCACUGGACCAUAACUGACGCUGAUGCACGAAAGCUAGGGGAGCAAACAGGAUUAGAUACCCUGGUAGUCCUAGCCCUAAACGAUGACUGCUUGGUGUGACGGGUACCCAAUCCCGCCGUGCCGUAGCUAACGCGUUAAGCAGUCCGCCUGGGGAGUACGGUCGCAAGGCUAGAA